GCUGGGUAUGGUGGCUCAUGCCUGUAAUCCCAGCAGCUCAGGAGGCUGAGACAGGAGGAUAGCAAGUUCAAAGCCAACCUCAGCAAAAGAGAGGUGCUAAGCAACUGAGUGAGACCAUGUGUCUA
rnacentral:sRNA from 1 species